UGAUGACGUCAUCCGCUCCAGAGGCGGCGAACACGCUUGAGUCCACAGGGCUCCACUCCACGGAUGUGACGGGAGCGCUGUGCUGCUUGAAGUUCGCCACAGGCCGCCCAGUCUGCAUGUACGGGUGGAACAAGAGGUUUCAACAAGAACUCAUCAGGGUGUAUAAAUGGGUCUUAAAGGCAUAUGAAAAAUGGAUUCCUGUAUCAGGAGGAAUGAGGCUGCUGUAAUUACAUACUAUUGUGUAAGAGGCGCAAGAUGGGACAAAUGUUAUUAUUUAGGUGGGGCCAAGCUGUGAGGGUGCUUGAUUAUCUGAUGUUGUAACAGGACAAACACUGUCUUGUUGCACUAAUGGUUGGUUACUCUGUUGUGACGACACGCGCUGAUCAAACAGUCAGAUCGUCACUCCUGGUCUGACAUUAAAGGUGCGGUUGGUAACUCUUAUGAAAAUAACUUAUAGACUUACAGGUAAUCUGUGAAAAAAAAUCAUCUUCCUCUGCCUUUCGAAAUGCUUACAAUGGGAUUACCAUGUGUGUUACAGCCAAUCAGAGCGGAGGAGUCUCUAACGCAGCUGUAAAUCAUGUCAAUAGGCUUGUUUGAGAUGAGGCAGGCCUGCACAGAUUUGAUCACUGGCAAUCGCUGCACAAUGCAUGCCGGUGAGGUUUGUGUACGACUUCACCCUAAGUUGCUCUGACGUCAUGCAAAAUCCUGUUUUAUGAAAUUAAUGUUGUACCUUUAUUGUUGUUGUUGCGAUAACUUGAUGUUGAAGCCGUUGUGUCAUGAAUAUGUUCUAUUUUAUAACUGUCUUUUUUACA